rnacentral:tRNA from 1 species
CGGGACCACCUCCUGGCCCUGGACGCCCCGCUGGGCCGCGUGGUCGCGGCGCAGCGCCUCAGAUCCGCCAUC